UGGAGUGUCUACUGAGUGCCAAGGUC
rnacentral:piRNA from 1 species